CCUUUCUUUGUAGUAAUCUUUAGUGAAAAAUAAUAAAUACACUUCUUAAAAAUAAUUGAAACCUUAGAGAAGGAUAUCCAAUGGAAAGUAAAUCCUCAUCUCUCAGAAAUGUUCUAUGUACAUACACAUAUGUUUUAUGUAUAACUGUAUCUUUCUGUUAAUAAUCACCUUAUUCCCUGCUUUUUUUCACAGGUGGAAGCAAAUCAAGUACUUUCUUGUACCUUGAUAUUUUUCACUUAGGUAACCCCAGAACGGAACAUAGAGGUCUGCUUUAGUUUUAGUGCUGCAUAGUAUUUCAGGACAGCAGCUUAUCCAUCAAUAAGGAUCCCAUCCUCUCUCGAAAACAAAUCGAUUGAUCAUGUCAAAAGAUCUCAGCGGCUGGUCGUAGGGUAAAAUGUGCCCUCCACCUCGAACAAUUACCUUGGAGAAGAAAAGUAAAAGAGAGAGACAGAGCGUGAACAGGGGAGGAGCAGAGAGAGAGGGAGAC